CGUUGGGGUUGUGUAGGCAAGCAUCUUCUCUUGGCAAGGUCCUCGUAGGUGGCCGCAAACAGUUUACGGCUGUGGGAUGAGAACUUGUCUUGUGAAUGUGACGUUGGGAGGAGGGAAGCACAGGGGAAGAGGAGGACGGAGGGAGGAAGAGAGUUAAGAGUCACAAGAGGAGGAGGAAGGUGGAAAAGAAAGAGGAAGGAGAGGAGGAGGAGGAGGAGGAGGAAGAUGGAGAAGGAAAGGAGAAAGAUAAAGAAGGAAGGAAAUGCCGCAGAAGGAGAAGAGCAAUAAGAAAUUAGAAUUGACAGAGAAACCAGACAAGGGACUGCAUUUGAAGAAGCACAAGAACCAAGAAAUUACAUCAUUCAAUGAAAUGACAACAUAAUCUAAAAUAGAAAUCAAAAACGUCACAAGACAGAAUAGUGAGCUGCAUGCACUUAUCACAGAGUAUAAAGUCACUCCCUCAGAGGAAAAAGACAAGGAUGGCAUGUCUUCAUGUGAGAACUCAGAAGCCAAAUGUGAGCUACCAUCCACAUGAAUAUAUAUUUGUAUAUCAAACUGACAUUCUCCUUGGAGGGAGGCUUUCCAAAGUGCACACACACACACACACACACACACACACACACACACACACACACACACACACACACACACACACACACACACACACAUCUCUGCAU